AAUAGAUAUUCCUAUAUGUGCAAAAAAGAUAAAUACAUCAACAGCAAUAAGGAAAACAAUUACUAAUAAUUUGUCUAUAUUUCAAACAGGACCAUAAAAGAUAAGCCAGCUUUGAGAGCUAAGCUCGCUUGAAGACGUCCAAAAUGAUGAGCUGCAAUUCAUCGAAGAGUAUGAGUCAUUAAAUCAGUCUGUAUCUAAUGAAGGAGCACAUCAAAUUUUGCAGGAAAAAAA